ensembl:lncRNA
GGGGAGCAGCGCUGAGCCCCAACCCCUGCAGCAGUGAGCGGCUCCUGGCUUAGCGAGGCAAAACGCACAGCUUGGCGAGGAGCAACGCGCACAGAGAGAGCUGGAAGGCAGCACGGGAAGCAGAGCAGGGCAGGGCAGAGCAGCGCUGGUGUCAGCGGCGGCACACAGCUCCCAAUGCCCGCAAGCUUGCUACAGGGAAAGGGGUGAAGGAGAGGCAGGGACGGGAAAUCAAACUAUGCUGCAGGAUUUGGGGCUGUUCCAACCUAACAAAGCAGCCGGGUGACCCCGAGGAGCAGCAGAAAGCACCCGGAGCCCCUCCGCCACCGCUGCAGCACGCGCUUCCUGCAUCCAUCCAUCCCAAGGCAGCCCGCAGUAACGCAGCAGAAAGACAAGGGUCAUGCUGAGCCGCAUCCUCCUCGCACACAACAGCCGAGCGGCAGCACCGAACAUGCAUGGCUCAGCCGUGCCGCCACGCCACGCCGGAACGGAGAGCCUUAAAAUAAGGUCUGAGUGGUGAGAACAGCAAGAUCCCUUCCCUCGGGCUCGCAGUCAUAGGAAGCCGCCCCAUUUUGGCUGAGACACAUUGAAGGUUCCCUCCUGGUGCUGCAGAGCACCUUGAAAGGUCGGCGAUGGCACUGCAGCAGGCGAUGUGGGCUGCCCUAGAGAGAAGGGGAACACGGCCUGCGCCCCUACCCAACUCC